UACGAAGGGUGCAAUCGUUGCUCGGAAUUAUUGGGCGUAAAGCGUGCGCAGGCGGUUUUGUAAGUCAGGUGUGAAAUCCCCGGGCUUAACCUGGGAACUGCGCUUGUGACUGCAAGACUCGAGUACGGCAGAGGGGGGUAGAAUUCCACGUGUAGCAGUGAAAUGCGUAGAGAUGUGGAGGAAUACCGAUGGCGAAGGCAGCCCCCUGGGUCGAUACUGACGCUCAUGCACGAAAGCGUGGGGAGCAAACAGG
rnacentral:rRNA from 1 species